GAUGAACGCUAGCGGCAGGCCUAAUACAUGCAAGUCGAGCGGCAAGUCGAGGAGUAAUCUAAGACCUAGAGCGGCGCACGGGUGCGUAACGCGUAUGCAACCUACCUUAUACUGGGGGAUAGCCCGGAGAAAUCUGGAUUAAUACCCCAUGGCACAUAUUGAUGGCAUCUGAGAUAUGUUAAAGAUUUAUUGGUAUAAGAUGGGCAUGCGUCUGAUUAGCUAGUUGGCGGUGUAACGGACCACCAAGGCGACGAUCAGUAGGGGUUCUGAGAGGAAGGUCCCCCACACUGGCACUGAGAUACGGGCCAGACUCCUACGGGAGGCAGCAGUAGGGAAUAUUGGGCAAUGGACGCAAGUCUGACCCAGCCAUGCCGCGUGCAGGAUGAAGGCGUUAUGCGUUGUAAACUGCUUUUAUACAGGAAGAAACGACUCUUGCGAGAGGCAUUGACGGUACUGUAUGAAUAAGCACCGG
rnacentral:rRNA from 1 species